CAACUUUCAGCAACGGAUCUCUUGGCUCUCGCAUCGAUGAAGAACGCAGCGAAAUGCGAUAAGUAAUGUGAAUUGCAGAAUUCAGUGAAUCAUCGAAUCUUUGAACGCACCUUGCGCUCCUUGGUAUUCCGAGGAGCAUGCCUGUUUGAGUGUCAUUAAAUUCUC
rnacentral:rRNA from 8 species